GAUGAACGCUGGCGGCGUGCCUAACACAUGCAAGUCGAGCGAGAACCGCUGGAAUGACACUUCGGUAGAAUGAAAGCGGGGAAAGCGGCGGACGGGUGAGUAACGCGUAGGUAACCUGCCCCAUACACAGGGAUAGCCUAGGGAAACCUGGAUUAAUACCUGAUGAAGCAACUGGUCGCAUGACCGGCUGCCAAAGAUUUAUCGGUAUGGGAUGGACCUGCGUCUGAUUAGUGAGUUGGUGGGGUAAUGGCCUACCAAAGCGACGAUCAGUAGCCGACCUGAGAGGGUGAUCGGCCACAUUGGAACUGAGACACGGUCCAAACUCCUGCGGGAGGCAGCAGUGGGGGAUAUUGCACAAUGGGCGGAAGCCUGAUGCAGCAACGCCGCGUGAGCGAAGAAGGUCUUCGGAUCGUAAAGCUCUGUCCUGGGGGAAGAAACAAAUGACGGUACCCCGGGAGGAAGCCCCGGCUAACUACGUGCCAGCAGCCGCGGUAAUACGUAGGGGGCGAGCGUUAUCCGGAAUGAUUGGGCGUAAAGAGUACGUAGGUGGUUUAUUAAGCGUGUGGUGAAAUUACGGGGCUUAACCCCGUCCAGCCAUGCGAACUAGUAGACUUGAGUGCAGGAGAGGGAAGUGGAAUUCCUAGUGUAGCGGUGAAAUGCGUAGAUAUUAGGAGGAACAUCAGUGGCGAAGGCGACUUCCUGGACUGUAACUGACACUGAGGUACGAAAGCGUGGGUAGCAAACAGGAUUAGAUACCCUGGUAGUCCACGCCGUAAACGAUGAGCACUAGGUGUCGGGGCCGCAAGGUUUCGGUGCCGCAGUUAACGCAUUAAGUGCUCCGCCUGGGGAGUACGUGCGCAAGCAUGAAACUCAAAGGAAUUGACGGGGACCCGCACAAGCAGCGGAGCAUGUGGUUUAAUUCGAAGCAACGCGAAGAACCUUACCAGAGCUUGACAUCCCUCUGACCGACCGGUAAUGCGGUCUUCUCUUCGGAGCAGAGGUGACAGGUGGUGCAUGGUUGUCGUCAGCUCGUGUCGUGAGAUGUUGGGUUAAGUCCCGCAACGAGCGCAACCCUUGUCGUUAGUUGCCAUCAUUAAGUUGGGCACUCUAAUGAGACUGCCGGGGAUAACUCGGAGGAAGGUGGGGAUGACGUCAAAUCAUCAUGCCCCUUAUGUUCUGGGCUACACACGUGCUACAAUGGCCGGUACAAAGAGAAGCAAUACUGUGAAGUGGAGCAAACCUCUAAAACCGGUCCCAGUUCGGAUUGCAGGCUGCAACUCGCCUGCAUGAAGUAGGAGUUGCUAGUAAUCGCGAAUCAGAACGUCGCGGUGAAUGCGUUCCCGGGUCUUGUACACACCGCCCGUCACACCAUGGAAGUUGGGGGCGCCCGAAGUUGGUCACAUAAUCGAUUACCUAAGGCGAAACCGAUGACUGGGGUG
rnacentral:rRNA from 1 species